CCUCGGUCCCAGGGUUACGGGA
rnacentral:misc_RNA from 1 species